GGAGAGGUGCCAGAGUGGUCGAAUGGAACGGUCUUGAAAACCGUCGAACUGAAAGGUUCCGUGGGUUCGAAUCCCACCCUCUCUGCCA
rnacentral:tRNA from 1 species